GAAAAUCAGGAAGAGAAGGGUUAUUAGCAAAUCAUUGUGGGGGGAUCAAGAGGAUUUGAAUAUACAAAGGCAACACUAGAAAAGGAAUACAUACAAUCGUGAAGUUACAUAUGCUGAGGUGUAUAAUCGAACCCAUCGAAGAGACAAGGGGAACGGUCCUUUUGUUGAUAAUAAAUCAAGAUUUAUUUAUGAAAAUUUUGAGGAGAUUGCCAAACAAAAGUACGGUGAGGACUACAUGAAUAAUGAAGAAAAUAGUUUUGAACUUGUGUGGUCAGAAGCAUGCGGUGGACCAAUCAAAGGACGACUAUAUGGUGUUGGGGAUGUCUCAUUGCUAAACUUUCAUAGAUUACCCUCUCAAUCUAUGAAUGAAGAGCAAGCCCAACAAGAACAUGAAUUACAAGAGAAGAUAGAA